CUGCAGCUAGUUAAGUUGAUCGAGCUCUUUUCCUCAUGGAGGCUUGGUGUGCAAUGACUGCAAACAGCAGGUUCCUUGGUAGUGUACGCAGCCUGUUUCUUGUAUGGGUUGCCUCUAAGGGUCCUUGGAGAUAGCC
ensembl:snoRNA SNORA70 Small nucleolar RNA SNORA70